CCUACGGGAGGCAGCAGUAGGGAAUUUUGCGCAAUGGGCGAAAGCCUGACGCAGUAACGCCGCGUGAUCGAGACGCCCUUCGGGGUGGAAAGAUCUGUCAGUGGGGACGAAACUUGACGGUACCCACAGAGGAAGCACCGGCUAACUCCGUGCCAGCAGCCGCGGUAAUACGGGGGGUGCAAGCGUGGUCCGGAAUCAUUGGGCGUAAAGAGUUCGUAGGCGGCACGUAAAGUCUGGUGUUAAAGGCAGAGGCUCAACUUCUGUACGGCACUGGAUACUUGCGGGCUAGAAGGCGGUAGAGGAAAAGGGAAUUCCGGGGGUAGCGUGGAAAGGC
rnacentral:rRNA from 1 species